rnacentral:rRNA from 1 species
GACGAACGCUGGCGGCGUGCUUAACACAUGCAAGUCGAACGGUGAAGCGCCUUCCUUUUUGGUGGGUGUGGAUGAGUGGCGAACGGGUGAGUAACACGUGAGUAACCUGCCCCCUUCUUCUGGAUAACCGCAUGAAAGUGUGGCUAAUACGGGAUAUUCUGGGUCUGUCGCAUGAUGGGUCUGGGAAAGAUAUUGUUUCGGUGGGGGAUGGGCUCGCGGCCUAUCAGCUUGUUGGGGGGUGAUGGCCUACCAAGGCGGUGACGGGUAGCCGGCCUGAGAGGGUGGACGGUCACACUGGGACUGAGACACGGCCCAGACUCCUACGGGAGGCAGCAGUGGGGAAUAUUGCACAAUGGGCGCAAGCCUGAUGCAGCGACGCCGCGUGAGGGAUGGAGGCCUUCGGGUUGUGAACCUCUUUCGCCAGUGAAGCAGGCCUGCCUCGUUUGUGGGUGGGUUGACGGUAGCUGGAUAAGAAGCGCCGGCUAACUACGUG